rnacentral:ncRNA from 1 species
AUCCGUCGGAACGCGUACGGGGUCCGUCCGAGUCCACCCCGGUGGCCGGAUGCAUGGACCCGCGCAGGGUCGUCGGACAGGAGGAUCUGGCAUG